GUUGGGUGCAGCAACGCGUGCCUGUAACCCAAGUGGGGGCAUCAAGGUGACUGAAGGUUGAUUGUGGCAGCACCACCACCAUUGGGGACCUUU
rnacentral:sRNA from 1 species